GAGCAGCCUUCGGAGAGACUCCUAAGCUAAGUUAAAGAGUUUGGACUUUUAAUCUGUUGGCAAUGGGGAGGCAGUGAAGCUUUAUUGACCACAGAAGCACUUGGGUCAGAGAGUGCUUGAGACCACCCCCCAAGGGUGGUGUUUGGGCUUCAGCCCCCCAGGCUCUGCCCCAGGGUCUCUCAGAGAGCCGCUAGGAGACUCCACAGGAGCUCAGACUGUGGGAAGGAGGGCCUGGAGGGGAGGAGGGCCACCAAGGCCAACAAUGGCAGGGGAGGUGAGGAAGUGACGAGAACCCGAGAACCCACAGGGAGCAGCUGGUCGGAGGCAGGGAGGGAAGAGGAGGGGAGGAGGGCAGACAUUGAAUCAAAGAUGAUGCAGACGACCUUGAUGCUGGGGAGAGGUCUGGAACCCCGGGGGACCCUGGCGAGAUGCAGGUGGGGCUUGGGGAGCACCGGCUGGCAAAUGCUCCAGGUGAGCACACACGGGAGGGAGGGAGGGAGGCAAGGAAACCUUGACUCACACUGCUUUUCUCAAAUGCAGACUUCCAUAACACGUUCUCUGUCUUCUCAAGUGCACAGAGGCUUCAGGCCAUCUUCCUGCCCUAGGAAAGGCAUCUGCGUCUCACUGGACAUGCGCUGCCCCAAAAUGCCCACUGGGCACACUCACACACCCAGCCUGCAGCCCCGGCAGGCGCAAAGGAAGCCCUGAACAUAUAUAUCUGCAGUACUCCAGGGGCAAACGUCUGAAAUUCUCACCACCACCACCCCCCCCCCACCCAAAACGCUGAAAAUGUUGAAGAUCUCCCAAAGAGACAAGUUUGCCAGCCUCUGGCACGAGCCUCCUGACCCUCUACCUCCACUUGCAAAGUUCGAACCUGUAACCUUUCAUCUCCUGCGACUGAAGUUUUCCGGGCACUUUC